AUAAAAAUACCCUCAUCGAGGACCACAAGUCCCAUAAUGCACUUCAUUAGAGUCUCUCCGCCGGUACUCUUGGGAGAUGUAGUCCAGAAUAGCGCAAGCUUACAGGUGGCUGAGAAAGUAAGGAGGAUUGUGCUAGAUACUCAAGGAGUGGAUUCAAAGCGCUCUUUUCCGUUUGAACCAGAGCAAAUAUCAAGGGACAAAUAUUACAUGGUUAAAACUUGCAGAGGUUGCUAAGGAUUUCUUUGCAAUUAUUUUGAGAAUUUGAAUUGGACGUGACGUGAGCACUGAAGAGUAUGCAACAGCUACAUUAAAUUUUUAAAUACUUUUCGAAUUUAGUUUUAAAAAACACGUUAAAAAAAAGCUUGGGUAAAGCAAUACCUGUGGUUUACAGAGGCUGUAGUACAAGAAAAUGCUGCUCGUUUUUUUCCUCCAAUAAAACAAAGGAAAGAAAUUGCCCCCAGUGAAGAUUAGUUCAACUCCUGUGUUCAUUAUUGCUUCCAGAUCUCCUAGCCAUCCGUGUGGGAGGACAUACAACCUAGGAUGUAACUUUCCUAUUGCUGUGAAGAGACAUCAUGACCAAGGCAACUUAUAGAAGAAAGCAUUGAAUUGGAGACUUUCUUUCUUUCUUUCUUUCUUUCUUUCUUUCUUUCUUUCUUUCUUUCUUUCUUUCUUUCUUUCUGAUUUUUCGAGACAGGGUUUCUCUGUGGCUUUGGAGGCUGUCCUAGAACUGGCUCUUGUAGACCAAGCUGGUCUUGAACUCACAGAGAUCUCCCUGCCUCUGCCUCCCAAGUGCUGAGAUCAAAGGCAUGCACCACUGAUGCCCGGCUGAAUUGGAAACUUUCUUACAGUUUCAGAGGUGCCACCAACUGAAGACCAGUCAUUUAAAUAUGUGAGCCUGUGGAGCCCAUUCUCUUUCAAACCAGCAUACAGGGUAUCUUAACAAGAAGGAAUUGGGAGAAUCCUACCAUAGAGUUUGGGGCUUUGCUAUCCUGUGGUAAAACCAUAUCCUGAUGCUGGGAAUUCAGCAGUGACUCAAAUAGAUAAAGCCCACGGGGUUGAUAUGCAAAUGAGGGAGACAUCAAGAAUAAGGGAAAUAAGUAAAUUAGAACGUCUUAGAAGGUGGUGAGUACUAUGGAAAAACCAAUACAGGAAGGAAAGGAAUACUGGGAAGGAAGGCAUUUUUGCAGUGAGAUGGUCAAGGCAAAUAUCCCUGUGAGGGUCAUGUUUUGUUUUUUGAGGAAAGAUGUCGAGGUGAUGAAGAAAUAAGGCAUGAAGAUAUAAGAGAGUGAGAUGCUUCCCACGUGUCGAGAGUGAGUCGUGCAUUGGCAAGAAUUUGUCUGCUACAUUCUUCAAUUAUCAAGGCAUCCCAUGGUUGUAGAAAAUGAAGGAGAUGCAUUCUGAGAUCAUCAAGGCACCCCAUGGUUGCAGAAGUUAUGGGAGAAUAACAAGAUAUAGAACUCUCAACUGCUUCUCCAGUACCAUGUCUUCUUCCUCUAUGCUGUCAUGCUUCCAGCCAUGGUGACAAUGGACUAAACCUCUGAAUGUUGGCCUGAACAAGGGAGAGCACAUUGACCCCAGAUGCUGUCUGGGAGGCCAGUACAAGACUGAUCCAGACCCCUGAACAUAGAUGCCAAUAAGGAGGCCUCUGCACUCCAUGGAGCCUCUGGUGGUGGAUUAGUAUUUUUCCCUGGUGCAAGAAGGGACUUUGAGAGCCCAUCUCACGUAAAGGGAUACACUCUGGCCCUGGACACAUGGGGAAGGGCCCAGGCCCAGCACAGAAAGAUUUGGUGGACUUUGCAGAGCCCCCGUUGAGGGCCCUACCCUGCCUGGGGAGUGGUG
rnacentral:lncRNA from 1 species